GCUGGGCGGUAGUGGCGCACGCCUGUAAUCCUAGCUACUCAGGAGGCUGAGGCAGGAGAAUCACUUUAGCCUGGGAGGUGGAGGUUGCAGUGAGCCGAGAUCAUGCCACUGCACUCCAGCCUGGGCAACAGAGUGAGACCCUGUCUCAA
rnacentral:sRNA from 1 species